rnacentral:lncRNA from 1 species
AGUUAUAUGAAAAAAAUAUAACGCAUGUAUUUAUUAUCAUAUAUAUUUUAAAUCAAGCGAUUACCACUGAAUAUAAAAGGAUCUUCUUUAUUCGCUGUUUUGCGCCCUUUUCCAAUCAACGAGAUUACCAGUUCAAACUAUGGACUGCACCCACACCCGUUGAAGAAGACCGGAACCCAGAAAAAUCUUAGGAGACUCCCGUGUGGCGAGCCAAGGCUUUACCAGCUGGCCAUCCUCCUAUUACGAUUGAUUUAUUUUGCCAAAAUCAAUUUCUGAUUUUACGAUGUUUUCUAUUAAAAAAUUAUCCGAAAGAAAAUUUUGAGACAAGUAUGAAAUACUAUAUAAGAUGCUAUUUUCAUUUUGAACUUUAAGAAUUAUUUUUAUAGAUUAUAUUAUACGUAUUAAAUGUAUGUAUGCGGAUAUCUUUAUUAAUUUAGAUAUAGAAAUCUUAAAACUGCCACAAAUACUACCGCAUGACGAUAGAUUAAAAGAUGUCGCCCACCAUAAUAGUCUUUCGUGGUUCCCGAAAUGUAAUGCGUGGCCCUUGGAUGGCCUGAGGAACAAAGUAACAAAUGAAACAAAACAAAUGAAGUAACAAAUUUUAUCUUAUACAAGAUGAGCCUUUAAAUGGCGUUGUUUGUUCCAUUUAUAUUUUAUUCUCUCAUUUAUUGAUUAUAAGCCACUAUAUAAUCCGACUAAUCAGUCGAUGUAAUUUCCUUCGCCAAAGCCCAUUUAGUCGAAGAAUUAGAAGUCAGCAUUCUGAAUAAUAACCAUUUUUGGCUUUACAAAUUCAGAUAAUUAUGCUGGAAUUCUAUUUCUUUGUUACCACCUCCCACGACAUGGACGCUGGGUUGGACUUUUGGGAGGCAACCUGAAAAAGAAAAAGUCAAAUACGCUAUUAAGAUAUGUAAGAAAAAAAAAAGACAAAUGAUAAUCAAACGGCUUUAGAAAUCCAAUAAAUUUCUUAAAAUAGUUUCCUGAAGUAAAUCAUUUUUGAUGUGAAAAACUCUGAAGAUGAAAAUGGAUGUGGAUAAUGUUUUCUCGAGCGCCUCAAUUGCGUAUUCAUCCUAAAAAGUUAAUAAAUUACUUAAUCUACGUACUGUCUAUAGACAGAAAUUUGUAAAGAGAAUGAAAAUUUCAUUAAAAAGAAAAAGAUUAAUUUAGAUUGAUGAAAAUUACUUGCCUUGGCCGUAAAAAUUAAUGGUGGUAAUUAUAAUUUUAAAAAUGUAUCUUGACGGUCCAUUAGCAACUGCUCUGGCCGCUCCAGUUGAUUUACAGGGCGAAAAGGUUCAGAGAACGGCUCCAUACUUUUUCCCGAUGAAAUGCAGCAAUAUUUGCAUAUUGUUACAUUCCAUCGAGGAUCUGCCACUGCAGCAACAUUUCAUCGCUAAGCUUUGCAAACAUUGCUAAUGCUAAUUUAGGAUCCGAGCGUCGAGUCUUCGUUUCUUCUUCUUCUUCACUCUUUAUAUGGAGGGUUUAGCUUGUGCUUUUUUCUCCGAUGACGAUUCUCGUGCAGGUGAGUCUAGAUGAGUGGGUGCUAAUGAGAUGAGUUCUAGGUGAGUCUAGAUGAGUUCUGUUCGUGCAGGUGAGUCUAGAUGAGUCGCUUUCUGUCCAUCAUUCUUUGUGAUAAGCUUAUAUUGCACAUGACUGUCGAUACUUGUUGGUCGAAAAUAUCGAACAAGACAGAAUAACCAAUGGUAGCCGGACAGGCCUGCAUUGAUGAUGCAAUUGACGAAGUAUUGAACGAAUUUCCGACCAAUGGUCUCUGCUCCUACGUCUGCACUGAACAGGUUGUGUCCAUAUGGACUAGUUUGCUGCGGGCUUUAUAAAUAAAACCGAUUCAAUGAUAAUUUCCCGUUAUAUCUAUCUUAAAUAAAUUCGCUAAGAAAUUCUAGAUGCC